UGGUCAUAUGCUCGUCUCAAAGAUUAAGCCAUGCAUGUCUAAGUUCAUAUCGAUUUAAAAGAUGAAACUGCGAAGGGCUCAGUAAAUCAGUUAUCGUCCGUUCGAUCAUACAAGCCAUGGAUAACUGUGGCAAAUCUAGAGCUAAUACAUGCAAAUUCCAUCGGUGGCAACACUGGUGGAGCAUUUAUUGGACUGAACCAACGGGAGCUUCGGCUCUUGCAGGUGAAUCUAGAUAACUUUGCAUAUCGCACGGUUUAUACCGGUGAUAGUUCGAUCGAAUUUCUGCCCUAUCAACUAGUUGGUAAGGUAGUGGCCUACCAAGGUUGUGACGGGUAACGGGGAAUCAGGGUUCGAUUCCGGAGAGGGAGCCUGAUAAACGGCUACCACAUCUAAGGAAGGCAGCAGGCGCGCAAAUUACCCAAUCCAGACAUUGGGAGGUAGUGACGAGAAAUACCAAAGUGUGCCGUAAAAGGUUUCACUAUUGGAAUGAACGUAACAUAGUACCUUCGCUGAGUACCUACUGGAGGGCAAGUCUGGUGCCAGCAGCCGCGGUAAUUCCAGCUCCAGUAGUGUAUAUCAAAAUUGUUGCGGUUAAAACGCUCGUAGUUGGAUUACAAAAGUCUGGCGUCAAUUGAGCAUUCGUUUGAUUGGCGUCGGGCUUUUUUAUCGCAAGAACCACUUGUGCACUUAACUGUGUGUGGGUGGCCACUUGCGGAGCGUGCCUUGAAUAAAGCACAGUGCUCAAAGCAGGCGUAACGCUUGAAUGUUAUAGCAUGGAACGAAUAACCUGACCUAGUUCAGUUAGUUGGUUCUCUGAACCGGGUCCUGAUUAAAAGGGACAUUUGAGGGCGUUAGUACUUGGUGGCGAGAGGUGAAAUUCUUAGACCCACCAAAGACUCACUAAUGCGAAAGCAUUCGCCAAGAAUGUUUUCAUUGAUCAAGAACGAAAGUUAGAGGUUCGAAGACGAUCAGAUACCGUCCUAGUUCUAUACAGUAAACUAUGCCACCACGGGAUCAGUCCGGAAAACGAUCCAGGUUGGUCCCCCAAGGAAACUUGAAGUGUUCGGGUUCCGGGGGGAGUACAGUCGCAAGUCCGAAACUUAAAGGAAUUGACGGAAGGGCACCACCAGGAGUGGAGCCUGCGGCUUAAUUUGACUCAACACGGGGCAACUCACCAGGUCCAGACAUUGAAAGGAUUGACAGACUGAUAGAUCUUUCAAGAUCCAAUGAUUGGUGGUGCAUGGCCGUUCUUAGUUGGUGGAGUGAUCUGUCAGGUCUAUUCCGGUAACGAGCGAGACCACGAUCUCUAUUUGAUUGCAGCUAUAUAUGUUAUAGUUGGUCAUAGAGAGACUACCGGAUUACAAGCCGGGGGAAGCGUGGCAAUAACAGGUCUGUGAUGCCCUUCGAUGUUCUGGGCCGCACGCGCGCUACAAUGGCAGUGACAACAAGUGUCUGCUUUGAGAAAAGUGGAGAAUCUUGACAAUCGCUGUCGUGAUUGGGAUUGAGCCUUGUAAUAAUUGCUCAUGAAAGAGGAAUUCCUCGUAAGCGCGAGUCACCAACUCGUGUUGAAUACGUCUCUGCCCUUUGUACACACCGCCCGUCGCUACUACCGAUUGAAUGGCUUUUCGAGAACUCGGGAUUGGUGAUCGCAAGGUCACCGAGAGCUGGUUCAAGGAAAGGUAUUUAGAGGAAGUAAAAGUCGUAACAAGGUUU
rnacentral:rRNA from 1 species